rnacentral:rRNA from 1 species
AUUGAACGCUGGCGGCAGGCCUAACACAUGCAAGUCGAGCGGAUGAAGGUAGCUUGCUACCUGAUUCAGCGGCGGACGGGUGAGUAAUGCCUAGGAAUCUGCCUGGUAGUGGGGGACAACGUUUCGAAAGGAACGAUAAUACAGCAUACGUCCUACGGGAGAAAGUGGGGGAUCUUCGGACCUCACGCUAUCAGAUGAGCCUAGGUACGAUUAGCUAGUUGGUGAGGUAAAGGCUCACCAAGGCGACGAUCGUUAACCGGUAUGAGAGGAUGAGCAGGCACACUGGAACGGAGACACGGUCCAGACUACUACGGGAGGCAGCAGUGGGGAAUAUUGGACAAUGGGCGAAAGCCUGAUCCAGCCAUGCCGCAGGUGUGAAGAAGGUCUUCGGAUUGUAAAGCACUUUAAGUUGGGAGGAAGGGCAGUAAGUUAAUACCUUGCUGAUUUGACGUUACCGACAGAAUAAGCACCGGCUAACUUCGUGCCAGCAGCCGCCGUAA